GAUGAACGCUGGCGGCGUGCCUAAUACAUGCCAGUCGAGCGAACGGACGAGAAGCUUGCUUCUCUGAUGUUAGCGGCGGACGGGUGAGUAACACGUGGAUAACCUACCUAUAAGACUGGGAUAACUUCGGGAAACCGGAGCUAAUACCGGAUAAUAUUUUGAACCGCAUGGUUCAAAAGUGAAAGACGGUCUUGCUGUCACUUAUAGAUGGAUCCGCGCUGCAUUAGCUAGUUGGUAAGGUAACGGCUUACCAAGGCAACGAUGCAUAGCCGACCUGAGAGGGUGAUCGGCCACACUGAAACUGAGACACGGUCCAGACUCCUACGGGAGGCAGCAGUAGGGAAUCUUCCGCAAUGGGCGAAAGCCUGACGGAGCAACGCCGCGUGAGUGAUGAAGGUCUUCGGAUCGUAAAACUCUGUUAUUAGGGAAGAACAUAUGUGUAAGUAACUGUGCACAUCUUGACGGUACCUAAUCAGAAAGCCACGGCUAACUACGUG
rnacentral:rRNA from 1 species